UUAACACAUGCAAGUCGAACGGACGCUUGGGGCAACUUGAGCGUUAGUGGCAAACGGGUGAGUAACACGUGGGUGACCGACCUCAGAGUGGGGAACAACAGACCGAAAGGUUUGCUAAUACCGCAUAUGCUCGAUGAUUCAAUUUGUCGAGUAAAGGCGCAAGUCGCUCUGAGAGGGGCCCGCGUCCCAUCAGGUAGUUGGUGAGGUAAUGGCCCACCAAGCCGAUGACGGGUAGCUGUUCUGAGAGGAAGAUCAGCCACAAUGGAACUGAGACACGGUCCAUACUCAUACGGGAGGCAGCAGUGAGGAAUAUUGCGCAAUGGACGAAAGUCUGACGCAGCGACGCCGCGUGGGCGACGAAGGCCUUCGGGUUGUAAAGCCCUUUUGGCAGGGACGAGUGAGGACGGUACCUGUCGAAUAAGUCUCGGCUAACUACGUGCCAGCAGCCGCGGUAAAACGUAGGAGGCGAGCGUUAUCCGGAUUUACUGGGCGUAAAGCGUGCGUAGGCGGUUGGUCAAGUCAGAUGUUAAAGCCCCUGGCUCAACUGGGGGAGGUCAUUUGAUACUGGCCGGCUUGAGGGUGAGAGAGGAGAGUGGAAUUCCCGGUGUAGCGGUGGAAUGCGUAGAGAUCGGGAGGAACACCAGUGGCGAAAGCGGCUCUCUGGCUCACUUCUGACGCUGAGUGCACGAAAGCGUGGGGAGCAAACGGGAUUAGAUACCCCGGUAGUCCACGCCCUAAACGAUGAGGGCUGGGUGUCGGCAGGGUUACCUGUCGGUGCCGAAGCAAACGCGUUAAGCCCUCCGCCUGGGGACUACGAACGCAAGUUUAAAACUCAAAGGAAUAGACGGGGGCCCGCACAAGCAGCGGAGCGUGUGGUUCAAUUCGAUGCAACACGAAGAACCUUACCAGGGUUUGACAUGUAUGUGGUAGGAAACUGAAAGGGGCCCGACCCGCAAGGGAGCAUGCACAGGUGCUGCAUGGCUGUCGUCAGCUCGUGCCGUGAGGUGUUGGGUUAAGUCCCGCAACGAGCGCAACCCCUCUCGCUAGUUACAUGUGUCUAGCGAUACUGCCGGAUUAACUCCGGAGGAAGGCGGGGAUGACGUCAAGUCAGCAUGGCCUUUAUAUCCUGGGCUACACACACGCUACAAUGGGUGCUACAGAGCGUUGCCAAGCCGUGAGGCGGAGCUAAUCGCACAAAAGCAUCCUCAGUUCAGAUUGCAGGCUGCAACUCGCCUGCAUGAAGUCGGAGUUGCUAGUAAACGCGCGUCAGCUAUAGUGCGUUGAAUGCGUUCCCGGGCCUUGUACUCACCGCCCGUCACGUGAUGGAAGCCGGUAACACUUGAAGUCGGUGACUGAACCGCAAGGACAGAGCCGCCGA
rnacentral:rRNA from 1 species